GUGGGGAAUCUUCCGCAAUGGACGAAAGUCUGACGGAGCAACGCCGCGUGAGUGAUGAAGGUCUUCGGAUUGUAAAGCUCUGUUAAUCGGGACGAAAGAGCCUAGUGUGAAUAAUGCUAGGAAGUGACGGUACCGGAAUAGAAAGCCACGGCUAACUACGUGCCAGCAGCCGCGGUAAUACGUAGGUGGCAAGCGUUGUCCGGAAUUAUUGGGCGUAAAGCGCGCGCAGGCGGAUCUGCCAGUCUGUCUUAAAAGUUCGGGGCUUAACCCCGUGAUGGGAUGGAAACUACAGAUCUAGAGUAUCGGAGAGGAAAGUGGAAUUCCUAGUGUAGCGGUGAAAUGCGUAGAUAUUAGGAAGAACACCAGUGGCGAAGGCGACUUUCUGGACGAAAACUGACGCUGAGGCGCGAAAGCCAGGGGAGCGAACAGGAUUAGAUACCCGGGUAGUCC
rnacentral:rRNA from 1 species